AUAAAGAAGAAUUUAAUUUUGGUUCUGAUUGAACGUUUUUCAGUAGUUUUAAGACAUGCAAAUCAUUGUUUAUAAUAAGUUAAAUUUUAACUUAUAAAAAAUAAGGUGUAAAGGUGAGUAAUAUAGAUUAGAUACCUUAUAGUCUUCUUAGAUAGGAGAUAAUUUAUUUCUUGAAGUAAAAUAUAUUACUUAUUUAAUUUCAAGAUACUUUAAUUUUUAUAAUAUUAAUUAAGGUUUUAUUAAGGCUUAACAAACUUUAGUAAAAUUAAGCCUUUUUUAAUUAUAUAAUUAUUAUAAGGAAAGUAAAGAUAAAUAAGCUAUUUAUUAAAUAAAGGAAAUUUUCUGCUAUAAGAUUCGAUCUAUUCUGUUUAAUAGGUAGUUGGUAGGGUAAAAGCCUACCAAGCCAACGAUCAGAAGCCAUGUUUGACGGAUCAAAUGGCCACAUGGGGAAUGAAAUGUCCCUAGUAGUGUAUACUACCAGCAGUCAAGAAUAUUAGUCAAUGCUCGAAAGAGUGAACUAGCUAACUGAAAUCACAUUUUUUGUUACUGCAGUGAAAUGUGAAUAUAUAAGGGAAAAAAAUGAUGUUACCUUAAUAUUUAGUGUUGUCCAAAACUGGUGCCAGAAGACUCGGUAAUGCCAGAGACGCGAACGUUAGUCACAUUAACCAGGCGUAAAGGGUUUGUAGGCAGCUUAAAAAUUUUAUUUUUAUAAUAGCUAUUUCAAUUAAAUUUGAAUUUAAAAAUAAAAUGAAUAUAAGAUAGAAUCAUAUUGAGGAUAAGCCGAAUAAUGCUUAGUGGAGGGAUGAAAUCCUUAGAUACUAGGUGGAAUACUAAUGGUGAAAGCUUUUUAUCUAAUAUUGAUCGACGCUGAGAAACGAAGGUGAGGAUAGGAAAUAGGAUUAGAGACCCAGAUACCCCUCACUGUCAACGAUGAAUGGUGGAUUGUUAGUUUUAAUAACUAGCACCGAUGUUAACGCGAUAACCAUUCCGCCUUGAGAGUACGGUUGCAAAACUGAAACCAAAAAAAUUAGUCGGUCUCGAAGCAAACGAAGUGAAGCAUGUUAUUUAAUACGAGAGUACGCGUAAAAUCUUACCAGUUCUUGUAUAGCCAUAUUUUAUUUAGUUAAUUUAAUUGUUAAUUUUUUUUAUUCUAUAAUAUUGAAAAUUGAGAUCAUUUUAUUCUAUAAUAAUAAUAUGUGUGGUUAUUAUUAAUUUAAUAACUCGUUUACAGGUGUUGCAUGGCUGUCGUCAGUCCGUGUUUUGAGAAGUAAGGUUAACUCCACUAACGGACGAAAUCCCUGUUGUAAAUUUAUACUUUACAAUUAAUGAAUUUUAAAUAUUUUCAUUUGGGGCUAAGACAAGUCGUUAUGGCCCUCAUGAACUGGGCUAUAGACGUGCCACAAUAACUUUUACAAAGUGACGCAAAAACCAGACCCUUUUCUAUUUUUUUUUAAAAAUUUAUGGGUCUUAAGGAGUAGCUAAUCAUUAAAGAAAGUUAAUAUUAUUAAAAUUUUUAGACGAAUUGUCGCCUGAAAUUCGGCGACAUGAAGAAGGAAUUUCGAGUAAUCGUUGAUCACUAGCGCAACGGUGAAGAUUGCAUUCGUGAUGAACUAACUGUCUGUCACUGGGAAGGAAUUCGGGUAGGGGGAAAAUGUCGCAUAAUUAUAAUUAUUCAAAGAUAUCUUAAAUAUUUUUUAUUGUUUAAGGUCUCUUCUUUGCUGCACUAAGUCAGCAGGAAGUGAAAUCCUUCCAAAAAAAGGAUAUUAACUUCCCUCCUUGCAAAUCUCUUAAUAAGAGGUAAGUAUAGGAAAAGAAGAAGUAGUUUUAAUAUAAAAUUAUCAAUUUUAUUGAUUUAAUUUUUUAAAUCUUAAAAAAAACAUCUUUGUUUAACUAAUUAGUUACUUUUAACCCACUUGAGUAACAUCUCAAAAGUCAUAGCAAGGUAGCUGUACUGGAAGGUGCUGCUGGAAAAUAAAUUUU
rnacentral:ncRNA from 1 species